UGUGGGUACAUGUGUGUAUGUGUGUAUGUAUGUUGCAGAGGUCAAUGACCACUGAUUCCACUGAAGAACUUUUAUGUCUGAGAACUAAAAUAGGGAACUUACAGAUUUGCACUUGAAAUUAAGAGAGGGCUAUAGAAGAGAGACCAGAUAAAGGGAUGGCUAAAAAGAUGAAGUUGGCAUUGUCUUUGAGGAUUAACAGUAAGUCUCAGGAAGGGCUCACUCUGUGGGAAGCCAGCCACCAUAACAGAAGUAUGUUAAACACUGGGAAAGGACCACAAGGAGAAAAACUGAGGCCUCCUGCAAACAUAUGAUGCCCUGCUGUGAAGGAGUCACUGAGCCAACUUGUUAUCUGCCAGUAACAGCGAGUUUCGGGAAGGCCUUCAGCUAUGAAGAGACUCUUUCUGUAUUUUUUAACAAGACAUAGACUGAGGAUACAAGAAAUCCCCCCCAAAAAGGCAAUAGCACACCAACAAUUCAAAAGCCUCUGAGAUGAAAUUAUCCAACAUUCUGAAACACGAAGCCCCAUGUUGUUUUUCUAUAGCUAAAAACA